GGCCGGGAGCAGUUCCAGCCAGACCCUGCAGCUCUCAGACUGGGGCGGCCCUCUCCCUUGCCCUCCUCUGCUCGGCUGUGAUUUCGCUGUGCUUCUGUGGGAGAAAAUGCUAUAAGUGACUCUAUGGACAUCCGUAAAAAUAAAUGCCAGCUACUAUGACUAUUCAGGUGUACAGGUGACAUGCGAUAUUCAGAAAGAAGCUAAGAGUCUGGGGUUGCAUCAUCCUCCCCAGACAGGAAUGGGCUGAUGGCACUCUGCUCAGAAUAUCUCCUGGUUCCCUGUACAUGCAGGAUGAACACCCGCCCGAAAAGUCUUCCACAGCGCGGCCACUCCUCUCCCUCUUCCUUUCACCCUGAGGCCUGCUGCACUCCUCACCUGCUCCAGGAGAGCAGAGCCUGUGGUUUCCUGGCCCAAUGGACCUUCCCCAUCUCCAGACAUGCUUUACACAUCUCCAGCCCAGAGCCUUCGCA
rnacentral:lncRNA from 1 species